rnacentral:rRNA from 1 species
UACGAAGGGUGCAAGCGUUAAUCGGAAUUACUGGGCGUAAAGAGCUUGUAGGCGGUCUGUCGCGUCUGCUGUGAAAAUCCGGGGCUCAACCCCGGACUUGCAGUGGGUACGGGCAGACUAGAGUGUGGUAGGGGAGACUGGAAUUCCUGGUGUAGCGGUGAAAUGCGCAGAUAUCAGGAGGAACACCGAUGGCGAAGGCAGGUCUCUGGGCCACUACUGACGCUGAGAAGCGAAAGCAUGGGGAGCGAACAGG